GCUUCAAUUCUAGGGUUUAAAUCCAAAAUGCCCUAAAACCCUGCUUCCUAUUCCAAAUUCCCAAAUUCCCAAAUUCUCAGAGAGCAAGCUAAAAUGGCGUGGCGAUCUGGGUCAUCGCUAUCAAGGUCUCUAAUCUCAACAGCAAGAGCUGCAACAAUCCGGUCAUCUCCAUCAAUCUCGUCCCUACCUCGCUCUCCGCUUCAUAAUCUCCGGACCAGCUCGCGCCGUUCCCUCUUCUCCCUCCCAGUGAAUGUGAGCCAAUUAGCCUGCGCGCAAUCGCUGAUGCCAUUGCACAGCGCACUAGCCUCGGCCCGGCUCACAAGCCACAUUUCCGUCGAAGCACGCCAUUGUUGCGAGCUGUCUCAGGGUACUUGAACAUGCUUCUGUUGGAUCAACACAGCAGCAGUUGUUGCUACAUUAGGUGGGGUUCCGAGGGUGAAAGAAUUUCCAUACUCCUUAUCUUUGAUAAGGUGGGUGUAGGAAGUAAUUUCAGAUUGUAGGGGAUAAGUUUACUUUCACAACUACUUUGUUCUUUCUCUUGUAAGCCAUUUUACUUGUGUAGGCUUUUAUGUUCAGAAUUACAAGAUCAUACAACUAUUUGUUAAUCUGUCUGAUCAUGUUGUUUUACUGUUAUUUGUUGCUAUCUGACUCUGUGGAUCCAAAUCGAAAUUUAAUGCAUGACAUAAAGGGGUUCAAUUUGUGUUCCCUCUAAGCUGCA